AGAGUUGGUUAGUCUCUAACGAGCGCACUCCUAUCGUCAGUUGCUACUAUUAAGUUAAGCACUCUGGCGAGACUGCCUGGGAAACCAGGAGGAAGGUGGGAACGACGUCAGAUCAUCAUGGUCCUUAUGUCUAGGGCAACACACGUGUUACAAUGGCCGGUACAAAGGGUUGCAAACCUGUAAAGGUGAGCCAAUCCCAGAAAUCCGGUCUAAGUUCGGAUUGAGGUCUGCAAUUCGACCUCAUGAAGCUGAAAUCGCUAGUAAUCGUAUAUCAGAAUGAUACGGUGAAUACGUUCUCGGGCCUUGUACACACCGCCCGUCACACCACGAAAGCUGUUUGUACCCGAAAUCAUCUUAGCUAACCUGUUAAAGGAGGCGGAUGCUGAAGGUAUGGGGAGUGAUUGGGGUGAAGUCGUAACAAGGUAGCUGUAGGAGAACCUGCGGCUGGAUCACCUCCUUUC
rnacentral:rRNA from 1 species